GGUAGCUCAGUUGGUAGAGCGAUGGACUGUAGAGCAGUC
rnacentral:tRNA from 1 species